AUAAAAUAAUAAUCACAUUUUUAAUAAAAUUUAUGAAUAAGAUUAGUAUUGGAAUGAUUAAACCAAAAAUUAUAUAUGAAAAUUUCUGAUCAAAAUGGAAAAACCAACAAAAACUAAAAUUAAUAUAUACGAAAUAAAAACAGAUUUAUUUGAUAUUUUUUUUUAAGAAAACAACAUUUAGAGAACUUCCGAAACCGAACUGAUACUGAGGACAUACAUUGUUACGCCAACUUCCACUGGGGGACCUGCAACAUAUUUAUCAAUUUUCCAUAAUAUUUUCAUUUUGGACAAAAUUUUCUGAAGGGUGCAUCAUGAAUGAAAACCAAAUCAACUUUGUAAAAUUUGUUUUUAUAACAAAAACAAACAAAGAGAAUUAAAAAAAAGAGCAUACAUAAAGAUAUUGUACUUAUAUUAUUUUAUAUAUAUUUUAUAUAAAUGUAUGUAUAUAUGUAUAAAAGAUAUUAUUUAUAAGAUAUUUAGUAUAUAACAUAUAAUGUUAAUUUUCUUUGUCUAAUUUUAUUAUAUUAUGUUGUAUACACAAUUUUAUGGUCAAAUAUUUAAAUGAUUCAAUUUUUUUUUUGUAUAAAAUAAAUUAAAAGUCGUCUCCAUUAACUUAAUCCCCUUUGUAUAUAUAAUGUAAAAAAUUAAAUGAAAAUUAAAACUAUAAGAACUAAAAUUGGAAAA